rnacentral:lncRNA from 1 species
ACUUUUAUUCAAUAAAAUUUCCGAAAAAUCCAAGGUUUUGCUCAUUGAAUGUAACGUGAUUUCAUCAUUCAUUCAAGACUUCAAGCUAAUGACACCUUAUUAUCCCCAAUGUACAGAAGCCCAAAUUAGCCGCAAACCUCUCUUCAAGGAACCUCCACCAGAUCUCACCCCUUCCGAUUAUUCUGCUUUCUAAUUUCAUAGAUUUUCUUAUUGAAUUUUGAAUUCAUCACGCGGUUUCGUUUUGGUAUCAUUUGGAAAUUGAGGUCGCCGGCGAGUCCGUCCGAGGUUGCCAUUGAGGUGUCCAGCCGUCUGAUCUGUUCAUAGUUAUCGACGAAAGAUCCAACCCAGAACCGCCAAAUUGCUAAGCUUAUUGUUCCAACCCCCGUUCAUUUAUACAAUAGGUCCGAUUUUUACCUUAUAAUCGCUUUGGUAAUGGUUAAAUUCCUUGUUUGCUUUUAUUCUGUUGAAGUUACUUGUUGAACCCAUUUUGAAUUUUGUUUCCAUAUUUGUUAAGAACGUUGAGGUGUUUCUUGGAUUCUUUUGGGUUAUACCUUAGUCAUGCUGCUUUGGUAUUUAUUGGUAAAUAAUGUGUAAAUCCAAUUUUGUUUGAUAAUAUGGAAUUCAUGGAUAUGC